UGAUUUGCUCGUAGAGCGCGAGCAGCAUAAUAUAAAGAAAGCUCAAUUGAUG
rnacentral:ncRNA from 1 species